rnacentral:tRNA from 4 species
GGUCCCGUAGUUCAAUGGAUAGAAUAGAAGUUUCCUAAACUUUAGAUGCAAGUUCGAUUCUUGCCGGGACUACCA